rnacentral:rRNA from 1 species
GACGAACGCUGGCGGCGUGCCUAAUACAUGCAAGUCGAGCGAACAGACGAUGAUCUUUCUCCUCUGACGUUAGCGGCGCACACGGGUGUAACACGUGUAUAACAUCCCUCUCAUACUGGGGUAACUUCGGGAAACCGGAGCUCAUACCGCAUAAUAUAUUAAUCCUCAUGGUUCAGUAGUGAAAGACGUUUUUAUUGUAACUCAUAGAUAUAUCCGCGCCGCAUUAGCUAGUUGGUAAGGUAACGGCUUACCAAGGCAACGAUGCGUAGCCGACCUGAGAGGGUGAUCGGCCACACUGGAACUGAGACACGGUCCAGACUCCUACGGGAGGCAGCAGUAGGGAAUCUUCCGCAAUGGGCGAAAGCUUGACGGAGCAACGCCGCGUGAGUGAUGAAGGUCUUCGGAUCGUAAAACUCUGUUAUUAGGGAAGAACAAAUGUGUAAGUAACUAUGCAGGACGUGACGGUACCUAAUCAGAAAGCCACGGCUAACUACGUG